UAAAUGCAAGGUGAUUUGGUGAUUUCGAGUCUUCCUUGGAGCUCCUAGACUAAGUCCUCAAUAUCUUCCAUUACUCCCUUCCACCCUUGCAGCCUCUCCCUGUGGUUGGAUGGCUCCUUCCAGGAUCUUCACUUAAGGAGAAUGUCCAGGCCAGCCAUGUCUCAUUCGACUCCGGGCAGCCCUCCAUCUCCCUGACUUCUUCUAGCAUUCCUCAGGCUAGGAUCCUGGGCAGAAGUGGUCAUGGAAAACCUUGUGAAGGUGGCUUUCAGGGCUGGAGCUGAGUCUCAGAGAUAGGAUUCAGUGAUGUCAUAUGUCUGUGAGUUAUGUAUACCAGUCUCUGAAAACCUGAAGUUGUGGCUGAUCCAAAAUAUCAUGGAGAGGCUCAAGGAAAGCAUAAAGAGGCUGUGACAUAUUAACAAUGAAGACUUGUAAGGAGAAGCAGCAUAAAGGAUAGCAUCAGAGAGAUGUAUGACUGUAA